GAUGAACGCUGGCGGCGUGCCUAAUACAUGCAAGUCGAGCGAACAGACGAGAGUGCUUGCACUCUCUGACGUUAGCGGCGGACGGGUGAGUAACACGUGGGUAACCUACCUAUAAGACUGGGAUAACUUCGGGAAACCGGAGCUAAUACCGGAUAAUAUUUAGCUUCGCAUGAAGCAAUAGUGAAAGACGGUUCUGCUGUCACUUAUAGAUGGACCCGCGGUGUAUUAGCUAGUUGGUGAGGUAACGGCUCACCAAGGCAACGAUACAUAGCCGACCUGAGAGGGUGAUCGGCCACACUGGGACUGAGACACGGCCCAGACUCCUACGGGAGGCAGCAGUAGGGAAUCUUCCGCAAUGGACGAAAGUCUGACGGAGCAAUGCCGCGUGAGUGAAGAAGGUUUUCGGAUCGUAAAACUCUGUUGUAAGGGAAGAACAAGUACGUUAGUAACUGAACGUACCUUGACGGUACCUGAACAGAAAGCCACGGCUAACUACGUG
rnacentral:rRNA from 1 species